rnacentral:misc_RNA from 1 species
GAUCCGUAGCAUCGUCGGCAGCGUCGGCCGCCACAGGGACUUCGACCGGAUGUUCCUCCCCAUGAGCCGGGUCCUCGGCGAGCGCUGGAAGCGCGUGGACCGCGCCUUUCGUCUGUCGCAGAGCCUGCCCCCCGUCAGGCUCAGCAAGGUGGGCGACGCGUACUUCGUCCUCGACGGCAACCAUCGGGUCUCCGUGGCCCGCUUCCACGGGGUCGAGUGGAUAAACGCCGAGGUCACGGAGUUCCACGCCGCAACGCCCGCAGACCCAGUUGUUGGUGAGAAGGAGACAAAGGUAUGAAAACGAAAACCAGAGAAAACCGGCGGACGGCACCGUUCGCUCCCGACGUCGAAGAGCUGCGGGGGAUCGCGGAUCUCCCCACGGAAAACGCCUUACGAGAAGCCGUCCUGUUCCUGGAAGACCUCGCGGAGGACCCGGCCUUUAUGGGCAUCGAGCUGCCCUCGGUACGGGGCGA